CCCAGCUACAAUCUGACGGACGACCAGAGCCACCCAAGAGAAGAAUGGAUGUAACUGUACGAACCAAGAAGAAACUCAUUCUGGAAGAAAAACAACAAUAAAAAGGCUUCUCCAAGGAAUUUCACGGCUCACCCCUUCUGGUCCCACCGAUUAGAGAGGAGUCCUUAGGUACUUGGGAGUCAGAAAUGAACAGGCCAAGACCAUUAAAAUACUACCUGACUAGAGAUGAGCACAGGGGUCAGGCCUGCUAGACCCAAAUAGGAAUUCCUCAUACUUUUGUCUAACAGAAGGAUUUCAACUAAAUUGUCCCUGCCAGGGAAGGAAGAGAGAGCAAAGCAAAGAUCAUUCUCUCUGUUUUAAUGGUGGAGAAACUGAGGCGCAAGAUACUAGGUACCACAGAGCUUAGAGCCAGAAGAAACUUUAUACAAAUCACCAAGUACCACUUACUCAUUUGACAUAAGAAACUGAGGUCCAAAAAGAGGUUAAAGUGACUGGCUACAGAUCAAAAAAGCUUGAGAAGGCAGUUGUACUCUCAGAGAGGUCAUACUCUGCUAUAAAAUCAAAUGGGAAGGCCCAGAUGUCCUAAGGGUACAGAGGAAAAUGGAUGGCAAGGCCAUCCAAGGUAAUUUAGAUAGUGAUGGCAGGCCCAGAACGCAAGUUGACUCAUUACAAGCAAGUUCUAAUUGCUGCACUGAAGCGCCUGUAAAAGGCUUCUUACAACCCAGCCCCUUCAUUUGCUGUUAUGUACAGAUUACAACCUGGGAAGCAUUUCUUUUUUCCCCAAAUGAGGACAUCUAUUAUUUCCCAUCCUUUCAGCACUACCCCUUUCCCCCUCUCUCCUCGCUGAGCCCCUCCUCACUAUCCCCUAUUGCUCCAGCUGCCUGGUGCCCACCUCCACAUUCCCACUGACAUCACAAUACAGUCCUCUUUCCUGGCUAACAAUGGCCCCCAACUAUAUAACUCAGGGUCUGUCCCCUUACUCUGUAAAGCCAGACCAGAAGGGAGAGGAGUAAGGCAGCCUUUGAUCUCCACGCCUGUUGGUGGGCACCCAAGAUGCAGGGGCUCCUGGCUCCUCGGGCCCAGAACCGAAAAAAAUGUAGGCAAGAGAGUCCAAGCCAAAGCCGGAGCUGCAGCCAGAGCCGAAGCUGGAGCCACACUCGCAGCCGUAGCCGCAGUAGGAGCCGAAGUCAAAGUGCCAGUCCAAGCCCUAGUCCAUGCAGGCACCAUACCAGGAGAGCACACUCCCAUCGCUCCUCAUCCCGAGCCCAUCCUUGCACUCACUCCCACUAUCGUUCCCAUCACUCCAACUGUUAUCCUAAAAGAAGAAAGGCAACAUGUGUAGCAAAAAGAAAGGCCAAGAAAGGCCGGUCAACACACAGAAGGAAGAAACGAGCAGGGAGGAGAAGAAAAUGAUAUCUAUCUCCCCCACCCCCUUACACCUUGGGGAGGGGAGCUGUUCCUGGCUUCUACAUUGAUGAGGAGAAGAAUAUCAACUUGAAAGCUAGGAAGGAAGAAAACAAACUUUUUACAGGAACACAUGUAGAUGGUGAUUUCUAUACAACAUCUUAAAAAGAAAAGAAAAUGGAAAAUGGAAGGCUAGUCUCCCAUGACUCUGGCAUUUCACUUCGUCCUCGAGAUAAUAAAGAUCACCUGUUGUGAAACUAA